GUUAUUUGUCAAUGGAGGCCUUUUCUUAAAGUGGGUCCUUUCUCAAAUUAAAACGACGUACGCCUCCAAAUAGUAACUUUAUUUUUCUUGCAAUAGAAACCGACUGUGGAACGUGGCUAGACGCUUGCUUCCUCUAAGAAAAAUCUGCUUCAACACCAGGUGAGUCUUUUGAAAUCAUUCAAUAUGACUUGUUUGAAAUGUUUGUUGUACAGUUAGAGUGAGCACGUCUUAUAAUAAAAUAAGUGCUAAAACCUUGAAGCAACUUGAGUUUGACUCAUGAAUGAAAUGUGCGUCUGAACCGGUUUGACAGCUUCUGUUGCAGUGUGUGUGUCCUGUGACGUGAGUGUUGUGCAGCAGGUGUGUGUGUGAAGGUGUGGACUCUGCUAUGCAUCAGUGGGAGGACAGAGAGGAGUCCCUCCCUCUAAAACCUCUCUGUGUGGGGAACAUGACAGCCAGACCAAAGCUCAGAGACCAGACUCACCUGGACCGGGACCUGGACCUGGACCGGGACCUGGACCUGGACCUGGACCCAGCUGUGUGUCCCUGAAGAGUAUGGGAAGACCUGUGAAUUUCAAAGAUGGAGUUCAGCCUGUUGAACUAAGAGUUCAGCAACAGAGAUCCCAAGUGAUCCCAGGAGACCUGGACCCCAUAUUUAAGGUGUGUGAGUCAGAGACUGUAUAACAUAUAGAGAUGGUCAAAGAGUUGGAUCGUUGAUGGAGAUUAGACGAGCAGGUGGAGCAACAGAGGAGACGUCCACCUGUCAA